rnacentral:lncRNA from 1 species
CAGCAAUUGACCCAAAAGGAAAUCAACGUCCACACAAGGACUUGUACACGAGUGUUCACGAGCGCAUCUGAAACAGCCUCAAACGUGCAAUGUCCUCCAACAGAUGAAUGGCUACACACCCUCAGCGUGCUGAAGGACUACCGACUGCCACGCCACAACACAAAUGAACAAACCAUUGAUGCGUGACUCAACACACACCCUCAGCGUGCUGAAGGACUACCGACUGCCACGCCACAACACAAACGAACAAACCAUUGAUGCGUGACUCAACACACACCCUCAGCGUGCUGAAGGACUACCGACUGCCACGCCACAACACAAAUGAACAAACCAUUGAUGCGUGACUCAACACACACCCUCAGCGUGCUGAAGGACUACCGACUGCCACGCCACAACACAAACGAACAAACCAUUGAUGCGUGACUCAACACACACCCUCAGCGUGCUGAAGGACUACCGACUGCCACGCCACAACACGAACAAACCAUUGAUGUGUGACUCAACACACACCCUCAGCGUGCUGAAGGACUACCGACUGCCACGCCACAACACAAACGAGCAAACCAUUGAUGCGUGACUCAACACACACCCUCAGCGUGCUGAAGGACGACCGACUGCCACGCCACAACACGAACAAACCAUUGAUGCGUGACUCAACACACACCCUCAGCGUGCUGAAGGACUACCGACUGCCAUGCCACAACACAAAUGAACAAACCAUUGAUGCGUGACUCAACACACACCCUCAGCGUGCUGAAGGACUACCGACAGCCACACAACACAAAUGAACAAACCAUUGAUGCGUGACUCAACACACACCCUCAGCGUGCUGAAGGACUACCGACUGCCCACACACACACGAGCAAACCAUUGACGCGUGACUCAACACACACCCUCAGCGUGCUGAAGGACUACCGACUGCCACGCCACAACACACAUGAGCAAACCAUUGAUGCGUGACUCAACACACACCCUCAGCGUGCUGAAGGACUACCGACUGCCACACCAUACAAACGAACAAACCAUUGAUGCGUGACUCAACACACACCCUCAGCGUGCUGAAGGACUACCGACUGCCACGCCACAACACGAACAAACCAUUGAUGCGUGACUCAACACACACCCUCACCGUGCUGAAGGACUACCGACUGCCACGCCACAACACAAACGAACAAACCAUUGAUGCGUGACUCAACACACACCCUCAGCGUGCUGAAGGACGACUGACUGCCACGCCACAACACGAACAAACCAUUGAUGUGUGACUCAACACACACCCUCAGCAUGCUGAAGGACUACCGACUGCCACGCCACAACACAAACGAGCAAACCAUUGAUGCGUGACUUAACACACACCCUCAGCGUGCUGAAGGACGACCGACAGCCACACAACACAAAUGAACAAACCAUUGAUGCGUGACUCAACACACACCCUCAGCGUGCUGAAGGACUACCGACUGCCACAACACACACGAGCAAACCAUUGACGCGUGACUCAACAUAAUUACACUGUGAAAAAAGCCGAAGGGAAAAACAUAUACUAUGUGAUCCUACUCCUAUGGAAUUCUACAGAAUACAACUAAUUUAUCGUGACAAAAAGUAGCUCACUGGUGGCCUGGGGCAGGAGGGCGGGUGGUGACCAAGGGCCUGUGGACCCCAUGGGAGCCACAGAUCUGUGGGUCUUCUUGGUUGUCACUAUGGCUUCACAGGUGUGUGCAGACAUCAAAGUUCAGAAAUUAAAGGGCACAUUUUAAAUAUGAGCAGUUUUCAUAUGGCAAUUACACCUCAAUAAGGCUGUUAAAAAUCACCCAAUGGUAAAUUUAAAAGACUGAGAAAAGAACUUUCACGGGAGGAAUGUGACUCCUCCCCCUUGAGCUACGUGUUCAUUUCUUGAAACCACUUGCUGUUGCCACAAGUAGCUCUAAACUAACCCAAUAAUGCCGCACCCAAUAGUUUAACGAUGUACAGCCAAUCACGAAUGAACGUUACUAUUGUAAGCCAAUGAGAAUUCCUGACAGACAACUUUGUAUCUAUCCAAUCACUGUCCCUUUUUGCCUUUAAAAAUCCAUCUGUAGCUAAGGCUGGCUCACUCCUGUAAUCCCGCACUUUGGCGGGCCAAGGUGGACAGAUCACUUGAGGUCAGGAGUUCGAGAUCAGCCUGGCCAACGUGGCAAAACCCCGUUUCUACAAAAAAUACAAAAAUUAGCUGGGCGUGGUGGCGCAUGCCUGUAGUCCCAGCUACUCAGGAGGGUGAGGCAGGAGAAUUGCUUCAAACUACAGGGUGGAGGUUGUGGUGAGCUGAGAUUAUGCAACUGCACUCCAGCCUGGGUGACAGAGUGAGCCUCUGUCUCCAAAAAAAGAAAAAGUCCAUGUGUAACUGCUGCUCACCAGAGUGCAUAUUCAGGGCAAUGGGAUAUGUCCUCCCUGGCUGCAAUCCUCAAGCUUGACCCAAAUAAAUUAUGUAGAUUACUUUUGCCUCUGCUUCUUCCUUUAAGGUUGGCAAAACUCAUCUUAAAACAUCCCACUCUGGAUUUUGUGUGUGUGUAUACUGGGGACAGGGUCUGGCUGUGCUGCCCAGGCUGGAAUACAGUGGUGCAAUCAUAGCUCACUGCACAUCGAACUCCUGGGUUCAAGUGAUCCUCCGGCCUCAGCCUCCCGAGCAGCUGGGACUACAGGUGCACACUCCCACGCCCAGCUAAUUUUUUAAUUUUUUGUAGAGAUAGGGUCUCACUAUGCUGACCAGGCUGGUCUUGAACUCUGCUCAAGCAGUCCUCCUGUAUUUGCCUCCCAAAGUGCUGCGAUUACAGGCAUGAACCACCAUGCUUGACCCACUCCCUAGUCUUAGACUGCUUUCUUCUGAAUGUGUUCCAAUACAAGAUUCCUGGCUAGCACUGAGUCCCGGAGGGGUCCCCAUGGUGAGGAAUGGCUCCUUGGGGGAAAGCACCUGAUCCCCAGAGAGCAGAUGUCAGUGGACGAUGACCUCUGGACAGAGCAGCCUCUCAGAAGCCCCUCCCCGGGCAAGUGGGCCCAGGCCGCAGGUGCCAGGAGCCUUGGGGGCUCCGGCUGCCACAUUCCCGGGACAUGCACAUUCCCUGGACUGUUGGCUCUGCCCCAAAAGUACCUCCAGAGUUCGACCAGGCUGGGCCAGGUCUCUCACCCUGGUUCCUGCAACAGCCUCCCUACCUCCUGCCUCUGUUCUCAGGCCCUCCCGUGGCUCCUAUUAACCCCCAAGUGAAAAUACACAGUACAGAAUACAAAUCAAAAACAAGAUUCUAAGCCCCACAACCAACCAAAUGGAUCCCUUCUCUUGGCCAAGGAGAUUUCAAAGAAACCUGAAAAGCUAGUUCAGACCAUGAUGGGAAGUGGGGGCGGGGUCAGACACGCCUCAUUAUACCCGCUUAUACCCCCUCCCUUUGGAGUUCAGGCACAGCUCAUCAGCAUUAACAUCAAAACACAGAUCUGAUGAUUGACCAGACUUUGUAGCAACAGAUACCAAAUUCCAACCUGACUCUAGUACAACAUCAAUGACAGGUAGCAGGCCCUGAAAGAAAUAAAAAUAUUUUACCCCAAAAUAUCUUUGACAUAUUUUGAAAUGGCCCCGCAAAGCUGUCUUUUGUAGGGGAAACUUACAUUCUUUUUUUUUUGUUUGAGACGGAGUCUCGCUCUGUCACCCAGGCUGGAGUGCCGUGGUGCGAUCUUGGCUCACUGCUACCUCCACCUCCCAGGUUCAAGUGAUUAUCCUGCCUCAGCCUCCCGUGGAGCUGGGACUAUAGGUGCGCACCACCACGCCCAGCUAAUUUUUGUAUUUGUAGUAGAGACAGGGUUUCACCAUGUUGGCCAGGAUGGUCUCCAUGUCCUGACCUCGUGAUCCGCCUGCCUCAGCCUCCUAAAGUGCUGGGAUUACAGGCGUGAGCCACCAUGCCCGGUGGUAAACUUACAUUCUGUAGAUAAUCCCCUUCCCUUUCCAGGUCUUUUUCUGAUCCUGAAGAGAUCUGCUGAGACUCUAGCACAUUUUAAAGGUCUGAAUAAGGGCCGGGCACAGUGGACUCACCAUCUUUUGCCAGGCUGGCCAGGCCCCCCUUGGCCUUUGGCCGGCUGUUUUCUAGUUCAAUCUCAAUUGCAUCCUGGUAACUGGAUAUUUCACCUGAAGUCAUAAGUUAAAAGCAAAAAGUCAGCAUAAAAUCAAUUUUCCCAACAAAACAGAAGCACUGCAUGGGAAGAUCGGUUGGUUACCUUCAACCUCCUCCAGUUUUUUUGACAGGACUUGUUCAAGCUGAAAGGGAACAGGGCAAGAGGCUUCGUGAAGGGAGGCCCUGGUGCACAGCGCAGCCUCUGGGGUGCCCCGUGGGCCCCAGGGACCACAGGCUGCUAGAACUUAGGGGUACGCAGUGGUGGAGGUGGAGCUAUGGGCCUGUGUCCCCCACGGGAAGAGGUGGCACUUCCCAGAGUCUGUGUGAGGGGCAUCCCGGAGCCUCGGGCUCUGGCUGGUCAUAGCACUGAAGAGCGGCUAUGAGGCUUUGGGAUGGCACCAGCUCUGCUACAACCCCAGUUGGGGUGUGCGGCUUCCCCCCAAGGCUGGCAAGCCCAGCACAGAUAGACACCAAGGCCGGCGCUACCUGCUUCAUCCGCAGCUUCCUCUGCCCAGCUGUGUACGAGGGGGGGUCGCACUCCUCCUCCAGGUCGAUCUUCAUGAACUCAUCAAUGGUCAACUGACUGGUGGGGGUGUCUUCAAAUUCCGUGAGCCUAAAAUGGAGCCAGACAUGGGAAAUGGAGCUGGUGGCUCUGAAACCAGAUGUUUAAAACUGAGCUUCCGCCUGGGCGUGGCUCAUGCCUGUGAUCCCAGUGCUUUGGGAGCCCAAGGAGGGUGGAUUGCUUGAGUCCAAGACUUCGAGACCAGCCUAGGCAAC